GCCACAGAUGAGGAGACAGGCUCAGAGGCAUCAAAUGACUUGCCAUGAGGGUGGUGCAAAGUACGUGGACCAACAAGUAAGAUGACAAGUGUGAACAGACAAUGCCUGCAGUUGCUUUUGCUACCUGAAGACCAUGAGGGAACCCACUGACGGUCCAAGGAGAAAAUGGGACUGUUGAAGCCUGGAGAAAACCUUGGCUGCAAGAGCACUAUGGGGUGUGAAUUGAAUGUCCAAGAGUUCCUCCACCAAGACACUGACUUAUUCCUGCCUCAGAUCCCCUGCUUCUCAAGGAUUUUCUAGGAUUUCAAAAAUAUGGCUGUACUUCCUUUCUGUUUCAGAAAAAAUCUGUCUUCAUUGUGUAAGUCCUUCUAAAGCGACAGGAAAUCAGACAUUAAGAAACUGAUGGUUUGAAC
rnacentral:lncRNA from 1 species